AUGCUCUGGUUUCUCUUCAUAACGAAUAAGUCUUUCGCCUUUUACUGAAGAUUUCCGUGGGGAGGAACUAAUUGUGAGUUUGUUACUGAAUUUUUUUGGAUGUCCUGCUCAGGCGGGGCU